rnacentral:rRNA from 1 species
UGGCGGACGGGUGAGUAAUGUCUGGGAAACUGCCCGAUGGAGGGGGAUAACUACUGGAAACGGUAGCUAAUACCGCAUAACGUCGCAAGACCAAGGAGGGGGACCUUCGGGCCUCUUGCCAUCGGAUGUGCCCAGAUGGGAUUAGCUAGUAGGUGGGGUAACGGCUCACCUAGGCGACGACCCCUAGCUGGUCUGAGAGGAUGACCAGCCACACUGGAACUGAGACACGGUCCAG